AGUGAACGCUGGCGGUAGGCCUAACACAUGCAAGUCGAACGGCAGCACAGUAAGAGCUUGCUCUUACGGGUGGCGAGUGGCGGACGUGUGAGGAAUACAUCGGAAUCUACUUUUUCGUGGGGGAUAACGUAGGGAAACUUACGCUAAUACGCCAUAGGCCCACGGGGGGAAUGCGGGGGAUUUUGGGCCUUGGGGGGAUGGAUUGGCCGGAUGUCGGAUUGGCUAGUUGGUGGGGUAAAGGCCCACCAAGGCGACGACCCGUAGCGGGUCUGAGAGGAUGAUCAGCCACACUGGAACUGAGACACGGUCCAGACUCCUACGGGAGGCAGCAGUGGGGAAUAGUGGACAAUGGGCGCAAGCCUGAUCCAGCCAUACCGCGUGGGUGAAGAAGGCCUUCGGGUUGUAAAGCCCUUUUGUUGGGAAAGAAAAGCAGCAGGUUAAUACCCCGCUGUUCUGACGGUACCCAAAGAAUAAGCACCGGCUAACUUCGUG
rnacentral:rRNA from 1 species